UACGUAGGGUCCGAGCGUUGUCCGGAGUUACUGGGCGUAAAGCGCGCGCAGGCGGCUCGGCAAGCAUGGCGUGAAAUCCCCCCGGCUCAACCGGGGGAAGUGGCGGGGAUACGGCCGGGCUGGAGGGGGGGUAGGGGGGAGCCGGAACUUCCGGUGGGAGCGGUGAAAUGCGUUGAGAUCGGAAGGAACGCCCGUGGCGAAAGCGGGCUCCUGGGACCCCACCCUGACGCUGAGACGCGAAAGCCAGGGGAGCGAACGGG
rnacentral:rRNA from 1 species